GAAGGUACAGCUCAAGUGGUAGAGUGCAUGCUCAGCAUGCACAAGGGCCAGGGUUCAAUUCCCAGUACCCUCU
rnacentral:tRNA from 1 species